AGUGGCUCAGCAGCUUGUAGAGCCCCUCCCGGGUGGUGAACUGGGUCUUAAUCUCGUUCAUCUCCUUCCCUCCUCCCUCCGCCGCCAUCUUGGAAAGUAG